ACCCCCAUAGAGGUGGAAGGCGUCCAGGUCCAGCUAUAUCAGGACCUGGCGCCGACCACCCUGAAAAAGCGACGGGACCUGCGCCCCCUCACGCAUCACCUCACCCAGCACGGCCUCAGGUAUGCUUGGGGCCACCCAUUUAAGCUUAUUGUCCGCAGGGAGGGCAGGUUCCACGCCAUCUCACGGGGGACGGGCGGAUAGACAGAGGGGGGGCAGACGAGUACACAGGGGACAGGAUACACCUGCCAGACGUGACCACACAUGCACUAGGGGACACAGGUUCCCACACCGGGUCCACCACCGCCUGGACAGCUACCACAACUGACGGGACCCGGACCCUGGGGAGCCCAGCCCCCCCUUAUAAACGCACAGGCGGGUGCCUCUACACGCCACCAGCCGUGCUAGACAGACCCGGACCCUGGGAGGGAAGGCCGAAGCCACAGCACCGGAGCGCGGUCAGGUCCCGGACACCAUGGGAUCCUAAGACGGGUAACCGGGAGGCUGAGAGACCCUCCCACAUGGAGCCCAAUGGCCCCCGGGACGGACAGACCCCUCUGGGGCCCCAACCAGUCAGACAUGACCGGACGAGCCUCGACAGCCCUCUACCCUCAGGACCGUGGAGCAUAGGCCCCCUUGCCCUAACACGCUGCGCAGCCCACAGAACCCGUGGCGAGGGGUCCAGCCCAGACACAAGCUGACCAGACACAUCCACCCAGCCCCACACGAGGAACCCACACACAUGCACUAAUGGGGACCACAGAUCAGAGCCACUGGACGGCCCUGAGACGCCAUCUGUAGGGGAUGGACCUGGCCUCCCCACCCCCAGGACGGCCGGAGACAC